AUGAUUAAACUUUAACCUUACAUUUUUAUUAAGAUGUAGUAGUUUGUCAAGUUGUUUAACUCUUUGGCGAGUGACAGAAAAUCGGAGGCCCCGACUGUUUACUAAAAACACAAUUUUCAGCAAUGAUGAAUAUCAUAGUAUUGAAGAUGAAAUUUGCUCGAUGCCAAUAAUAUAAUAAAGAGUAUGGUCCCUAAAGGGCUUAUCAUAAUUUAAGAUAUAAAUUAGGUUACUUAACAUUAUGUAUUAAAAUAAUCAAUACUUAUCUAAGGCUAUAGAACUUAUCAAUCUAUAGCAAGAGUCAAAAAAUCUUGAUAUAAAAUUUUGGCGAUCUAAGCUCUAGAGUAUUGAGGUUAUGCCUAUUAUUAUUCUUAUUAUGAUUUGUAUAACUGUUCUUUUAUGAAAUUCUGGUGAAUGGCGGUCUUAACUAUGAGGAUCCUAAGGUAGCAAAAUAAAUUGGCCAUUAAAUGUGGUCCGGUAUCAAUAAUGUAACGAUGGCCUCACUGUCUCUACAACUUGCUCAGUGAAAUUGAAUUGCACGUGCAGAUGCGUGCGACC
rnacentral:rRNA from 1 species